rnacentral:rRNA from 1 species
CAGCAGCCGCGGGAAUACGUAGGGUGCAAGCGUUAAUCGGAAUUACUGGGCGUAAAGCGUGCGCAGGCGGUUAUGUAAGACAGAUGUGAAAUGCCCGGGCUCAACCUGGGAACUGCAUUUGUGACUGCAUGGCUAGAGUGUGUCAGAGGGGGGUAGAAUUCCACGUGUAGCAGUGAAAUGCGUAGAUAUGUGGAGGAAUACCGAUGGCGAAGGCAGCCCCCUGGGAUAACACUGACGCUCAUGCACGAAAGCGUGGGGAGCAAACAGGAUUAGAUACCCCAGUAGUCCCUGUCUCUUAUAA